rnacentral:rRNA from 1 species
AGACCCGAAACCCGGUGAUCUAGCCAUGGGCAGGUUGAAGGUUGGGUAACACUAACUGGAGGACCGAACCGACUAAUGUUGAAAAAUUAGCGGAUGACCUGUGGCUGGGGGUGAAAGGCCAAUCAAACCGGGAGAUAGCUGGUUCUCCCCGAAAGCUAUUUAGGUAGCGCCUCGUGAAUUCAUCUCCGGGGGUAGAGCACUGUUUCGGCUAGGGGGCCAUCCCGGCUUACCAACCCGAUGCAAACUGCGAAUACCGGAGAAUGUUAUCACGGGAGACACACGGCGGGUGCUAACGUCCGUCGUGAAGAGGGAAACAACCCAGACCGCCAGCUAAGGUCCCAAAGUCAUGGUUAAGUGGGAAACGAUGUGGGAAGGCCCAGACAGCCAGGAUGUUGGCUUAGAAGCAGCCAUCAUUUAAAGAAAGCGUAAUAGCUCACUGGUCGAGUCGGCCUGCGCGGAAGAUGUAACGGGGCUAAACCAUGCACCGAAGCUGCGGCAGCGAACGUAUCACCCAAGACAACUUUACGGAGUUGACGAUUGACGGAGCGAAGCGACGUCAAAGCGUUCAUUAAAGUCGAGUUGGCUUAGGGAUACGUUCGUUGGGUAGGGGAGCGUUCUGUAAGCCUGUGAAGGUGUGUCGUGAGGCAUGCUGGAGGUAUCAGAAGUGCGAAUGCUGACAUAAGUAACGAUAAAGCGGGUGAAAAGCCCGCUCGCCGGAAGACCAAGGGUUCCUGUCCAACGUUAAUCGGGGCAGGGUGAGUCGACCCCUAAGGCGAGGCCGAAAGGCGUAGUCGAUGGGAAACGGGUUAAUAUUCCCGUACUUGGUGUUACUGCGAAGGGGGGACGGAGAAGGCUAUGUUGGCCGGGCGACGGUUGUCCCGGUUUAAGCGUGUAGGUGUGUGUUCCAGGUAAAUCCGGUUCACUUUAACACUGAGGCGUGACGACGAGGCACUACGGUGCUGAAGCAACAAAUGCCCUGCUUCCAGGAAAAGCCUCUAAGCAUCAGGUAACAUCAAAUCGUACCCCAAACCGACACAGGUGGUCAGGUAGAGAAUACCAAGGCGCUUGAGAGAACUCGGGUGAAGGAACUAGGCAAAAUGGUGCCGUAACUUCGGGAGAAGGCACGCUGACACGUAGGUGAAGUGAUUUACUCAUGGAGCUGAAGUCAGUCG